UACGUAGGGUGCGAGCGUUAAUCGGAAUUACUGGGCGUAAAGCGUGCGCAGGCGGCUUUGCAAGACAGAUGUGAAAUCCCCGGGCUCAACCUGGGAACUGCAUUUGUCACUGCAAGGCUAGAGUACGGCAGAUGGGGAUGGAAUUCCGCGUGUAGCAGUGAAAUGCGUAGAUAUGCGGAGGAACACCAAUGGCGAAGGCAAUCCCCUGGGCCUGUACUGACGCUCAUGCACGAAAGCGUGGGGAGCAAACAGG
rnacentral:rRNA from 1 species